CAGUAGCCGCGGUAAUACGUAGGGUGCAAGCGUUAAUCGGAAUUACUGGGCGUAAAGCGUGCGCAGGCGGUUCGCUAAGACAGGUGUGAAAUCCCCGGGCUUAACCUGGGAACUGCAUUUGUGACUGGCGGGCUAGAGUAUGGCAGAGGGGGGUAGAAUUCCACGUGUAGCAGUGAAAUGCGUAGAGAUGUGGAGGAAUACCGAUGGCGAAGGCAGCCCCCUGGGCCAAUACUGACGCUCAUGCACGAAAGCGUGGGGAGCAAACAGGAUUAGAUACCCGUGUAGUCCCUGUCUCUUAUAA
rnacentral:rRNA from 1 species